rnacentral:rRNA from 1 species
UACGAAGGGGGCUAGCGUUGCUCGGAAUCACUGGGCGUAAAGCGCACGUAGGCGGAUUGUUAAGUCAGGGGUGAAAUCCUGGAGCUCAACUCCAGAACUGCCUUCGAUACUGGCGAUCUUGAGUCCGGGAGAGGUGAGUGGAACUGCGAGUGUAGAGGUGAAAUUCGUAGAUAUUCGCAAGAACACCAGUGGCGAAGGCGGCUCACUGGCCCGGUACUGACGCUGAGGUGCGAAAGCGUGGGGAGCAAACAGG